GACGAACGCUGGCGGCGUGCCUAAUACAUGCAAGUUGAGCGAUGAAGAUUGGUGCUUGCACCAAUUUGAAGAGCAGCGAACGGGUGAGUAACGCGUGGGGAAUCUGCCUUUGAGCGGGGGACAACAUUUGGAAACGAAUGCUAAUACCGCAUAACAACUUUAAACAUAAGUUUUAAGUUUGAAAGAUGCAAUUGCAUCACUCAAAGAUGAUCCCGCGUUGUAUUAGCUAGUUGGUGAGGUAAAGGCUCACCAAGGCGAUGAUACAUAGCCGACCUGAGAGGGUGGUCGGCGACAUUGGGACUUGGACACGGCCAAAACUCCUACGGGAGGCAGCAGUAUGGAAUCUUCGGCAAUGGACGAAAGUCUGACCGAGCAACGCCGCGUGAGUGAAGAAGGCUUUCGGAUCGUAAAAAUCUGUUGGUAGAGAAGAACGUUGGUGAGAGUGGAAAGCUCAUCAAGUGACGGUAACUACCCAGAAAGGGACGGCUAACUACGUG
rnacentral:rRNA from 1 species